rnacentral:rRNA from 1 species
GACGAACGCUGGCGGCGUGCUUAACACAUGCAAGUCGAACGGAAAGGCCCUGCUUUUGUGGGGUGCUCGAGUGGCGAACGGGUGAGUAACACGUGAGUAACCUGCCCUUGACUUUGGGAUAACUUCAGGAAACUGGGGCUAAUACCGGAUAGGAGCUCCUGCUGCAUGGUGGGGGUUGGAAAGUUUCGGCGGUUGGGGAUGGACUCGCGGCUUAUCAGCUUGUUGGUGGGGUAGUUGCUUACCAAGGCUUUGACGGGUAGCCGGCCUGAGAGGGUGACCGGCGACAAUGGGACUGAGAUACGGCCCAGACUAGUACGGGAGGCAGCAGUGGGGAAUAUUGCAAAAUGGGCGGAAGCCUGAUGCAGCAACGCCGCGUGCGGGAUGACGGCCUUCGGGUUGUAAACCGCUUUCGCCUGUGACGAAGCGUGAGUGACGGUAAUGGGUAAAGAAGCACCGGCUAACUACGUG